UGGUGGCGACCGGCGCACGGGUGAGUAACGCGUAUGCAACCCAUCUAUCAGAGGGGAAUAACCCGGCGAAAGUCGGACUAACACCGCAUAAAACAGGGACACCGCAUGGUGAUAUUUGUUAAAGAAAUUCGCUGAUAGAUGGGCAUGCGUUCCAUUAGGUAGCUGGUGAGGUAACGGCUCACCAAGCCGACGAUGGAUAGGGGAACUGAGAGGUUGGUCCCCCACACUGGUACUGAGACACGGACCAGACUCCUACGGGAGGCAGCAGUGAGGAAUAUUGGUCAAUGGGCGAGAGCCUGAACCAGCCAAGUCGCGUGAAGGAAGAAGGAUCUAUGGUUCGUAAACUUCUUUUGCAGGGGAAUAAAGUGCAGGACGUGUCCUGUUUUGUAUGUACCCUGAGAAUAAGGAUCGGCUAACUCCGUGCCAGCAGCCGCGGUAAUACGGAGGAUCCGAGCGUUAUCCGGAUUUAUUGGGUUUAAAGGGUGCGUAGGUGGUUUGAUAAGUCAGCGGUGAAAGUUUGCAGCUUAACUGUAAAAAUGCCGUUGAAACUGUCGGACUUGAGUGUAAAUGAGGUAGGCGGAAUGCGUGGUGUAGCGGUGAAAUGCUUAGAUAUCACGAAGAACUCCGAUUG
rnacentral:rRNA from 1 species